rnacentral:misc_RNA from 1 species
AACGCAUCUUGCACUCUCUGGUAUUCCGGGGAGUAUGCCUGUUUCAGCAUCAUAAGCACCAUCGAUCCCCUCCCGAAAGGUUGGGGGGUCGGACCUGGGCCUGCUCGCGCGGGGGGGGGGAAGGGAAUUCUUCCUUUCUUCUCUCCCGUGCCGGCCUGAAAUCGAAUUGCGCCGAGCUCUUUUUCUCUCUCAAUUCAAAGGCGUCAUAGUUGGCCCGGUCUUUUCUGCGGUCAUCUUUCGCUGAUGUUUGGGUGGGUGGGGUUCGUCUUUCAAAGUUUUCAAAAACUUGAUCUGAAAUCAGGCAGGAUUACCCGCUGAACUUAA